GACGAACCGUGCGAACGUUAUUCGGAAUCACUGGGCUUAAAGGGCGCGUAGACGGGCCGGCGCAUCGGUCGCUGAAAUCCCCCGGCUUAACCGGGGAACGGGCACCGAGAUGGCGGGCCUCGAGUGGAGGAGGGGGACCCGGAAGGUCCGGUGGAGCGGUGAAAUGCGUUGAGAUCGGACGGAACGCCGACGGCGAAAGCAAGGUCCUGGACUCUCACUGACGUUGAGGCGCGAAAGCCAGGGGAGCGAACGGG
rnacentral:rRNA from 1 species